CAGUGCGAUCUGCAUACCGGAAAAAGUGAAUUAGACAUGGACAACUUUAAAAUGAAUUUGAAUGUUGUACCUUAAACGCAGACAUUUUGUUGAUUGUUAGAGGAUUAGUGGAAAUUGCGCCCAGUGUUCAGUAUCCGUCUUGAUGAUUGAAGUGCACAAGUAGUUGUUGCUUUGAAUCUUGAUCUGUUGCUCUUUUAUACCAACCAUUUGUUUGUUGUCGAGGACAAGAAAAACGAAACUGUGCCGAAAAAAAGGAGACCAAUGCCAGUAAGAAAGUCCCGGUGGUUGGUUUGAUCGAACUUGUGGUGAUUAAAGUUGGGUUUUCUUAACGGAUCAUUUAUCACAUUGCCAUGUUCUUGCAAUUGGGAGUCUGUGAAGGCUGGAUGACAUCAUAGAUCAGCACUUUCCAAUUGUUGGGUUACCUCUUAGUCAUUAUCAAGUUCUAUGGUGGCAUAGAUCUCAUUUGGUGGAGGUGUAUACGUGUCCUUCAUAAUUACAUUAUGACGACAAGAAGAUUGAUGGUACCUUCGGAUCUUUAUUCACGACAACAGUUUUUUAACAAAUGGGGCGAGUGAUGUCAGCUUAAUCUUAUUUGAUGGAUAGCUAGGAAUGUUACCAAAUAAUUUUCAACUUGCAAGAACAACCUUCUGAACCGAAAAAAGGUACACCUUUUAGAUUAAUUAUAAUUGCAUCGGACAGUUUUUUUUUUAACCUUUAAUUACUCAUAGCUGUUCUGUAUCUUGUUAGCGUGCUCUUUGUCCGUGUCAAAGAGUGUGAGACCAUGUGAGUUGUUAAAAGACUAAUUAAAGGCUAUUCAACCUUUAAUUAACAACCUUAACGUACUGAUACAAUAAGUUCCUUAUUCAA